GUCACUCGCGGACCGAAUAUCGCUUUUUGAAUCCCCCGUUUAAUCCAAACUGAACUUGGAUGCAAUCGCAUCGGUGCAUUUGUGCAUUCGAGUCGGUUGCAUUUAAUUUUGCUAUUUCGGGAGUAAAAAUAAAACGAGUUUAAUAAUCUAGUUCACCAUUUGUUUAAAACGUGUACAAAAUGGCGCGUGUGUCAAAAAUUUGUUGAAUUUUUUCGGGUCCGCCCAAUUUUUGCGUGGGAUUAUUGGUUUGUGUGCCGGAUUUGUCUGGAUUAAGAUGAACAUUGUGGUGGAUUUUCCAUAAACUCUAUAUCCACUGGUUCUUCAUAAAUACUAAAUGGACUAGCCCAUUAGCGGAAAUGAUUAAGGGGAUUAAAUAUGACUGUUUUAGUUGGUUACGUCGAACGAAAACUCUUAAUGAAAGGAAAUAUAUGAAUGAAAUGCCUUACUAGGCUUUUUAUAUGUGCUGCCUUCCUGUACUUCAAAGUAUUCCAAAGUGAUCGUUUCAUCUGGCGUCUUCUUACAGGCACAGUACCUCAAAGAACAUUAUACAACUGCAGAUGUUCUAUGAUAGAAGUUGAGCGUGACAUUGUAGUCAGUCCUAAUGUUCCAAGCUUCCUGGUGAAUAAUUUUUUGUGCACAGAAUCUACACCAAACCCCAAGAAUACGUAAGAUCCUACAAUGAAUUACAUCCAGAUGCACACUUAUCCCAUACGUACAUCAUAAACUUAGUGGCAAAAUUUCGUGAAACAGGAUCAGUUGCAAACAAACCUAGAAAUGUGAUAAAUCCAGUCUUAAAUGAAGCUGUAGAAGUUGAAGUUCAAUCAGCAUUAUGCAGGGUCGUCGAUAAUUAGAUUAAAAUUCUUCAUAUACUAAAAUGGCAAUUUUAAAAAGUCCAUUUCUUUUAAAAUCCAUUUCAAAAAAAAUUCCAUUCAAAUUCAAAGUCCAUUCAAAUACUUAUUUCGUGAAAUUUGAUAAUUUUAAAUAAAUUUUAUUUUGUAAAUUACUUAGUUAGCUAUGAAAGGGUUUAAUAAAUGACAAUGACAGUUUUAGUUAAAGUAUUAUCAUUAGGUUUUAUAAUAUACCAAAUAUAAAAAAAGAAACAUUAUUAAGUAUAAAAAAAUAACAACUAAAUAAACUAAUUAUUUCAAUUUUAAGUUUGUAACAAAAUAUCAAACUAUAAAAGAAAUAAAUGGAUAUUAUAUUUAAA